CUGAGAAUCUUCCACAAUGGACGAANCCUUUGAUGGAGCGACAUCGCGCUGAGGGAUGAAUGCCUUCGGGUUGUAAACCUCGAAAAUUACCGAAGAAUGAGUGACAGCAGGUAAUGUAAGCAUCGGCUAACUACGUGCCAGCAGCCGCGGUAAUACGGAGGGUGCGAGCGUUAUCCGGAUUCACUGGGUUUAAAGGGUGCGUAGGUGGGCUAGUAAGUCAGUGGUGAAAUCCCCGAGCUUAACUCGGGAACUGCCGUUGAUACUAUUAGUCUUGAAUAUCGUGGAGGUAAGCGGAAUAUGUCAUGUAGCGGUGAAAUGCUUAGAUAUGACAUAGAACACCGAUUGNUAAGGCAGCUUGCUACACGGUCAUUGACACUGAGGCACGAAAGCGUGGGGAUCAAACAGGAUUAGAUACNCUGGNAGUCCACGCCCUAAACUAUGGAUACUCGACAUCAGCGAUACACANGUUGGUGUCUGAGCGAAAGCAUUAAGUUAUCCCCNCCUGGGGANGUACGAUCGCAAGAUUG
rnacentral:rRNA from 1 species